rnacentral:rRNA from 1 species
GGGUCUUGGGAUACUUAGGGUUAAGUGUCCUUGGGUUUGAAUAGUACUAGGCUGGGUGACCUCCCGGGAAGUCCAAACUCAAGAGCUU